rnacentral:rRNA from 1 species
GACGAACGCUGGCGGCGUGCCUAAUACAUGCAAGUCGAGCGGACAGAUGGGAGCUUGCUCCCUGAUGUUAGCGGCGGACGGGUGAGUAACACGUGGGUAACCUGCCUGUAAGACUGGGAUAACUCCGGGAAACCGGGGCUAAUACCGGAUGGUUGUUUGAACCGCAUGGUUCAGACAUAAAAGGUGGCUUCGGCUACCACUUACAGAUGGACCCGCGGCGCAUUAGCUAGUUGGUGAGGUAACGGCUCACCAAGGCGACGAUGCGUAGCCGACCUGAGAGGGUGAUCGGCCACACUGGGACUGAGACACGGCCCAGACUCCUACGGGAGGCAGCAGUAGGGAAUCUUCCGCAAUGGACGAAAGUCUGACGGAGCAACGCCGCGUGAGUGAUGAAGGUUUUCGGAUCGUAAAGCUCUGUUGUUAGGGAAGAACAAGUGCCGUUCAAAUAGGGCGGCACCUUGACGGUACCUAACCAGAAAGCCACGGCUAACUACGUGCCAGCAGCCGCGGUAAUACGUAGGUGGCAAGCGUUGUCCGGAAUUAUUGGGCGUAAAGGGCUCGCAGGCGGUUUCUUAAGUCUGAUGUGAAAGCCCCCGGCUCAACCGGGGAGGGUCAUUGGAAACUGGGGAACUUGAGUGCAGAAGAGGAGAGUGGAAUUCCACGUGUAGCGGUGAAAUGCGUAGAGAUGUGGAGGAACACCAGUGGCGAAGGCGACUCUCUGGUCUGUAACUGACGCUGAGGAGCGAAAGCGUGGGGAGCGAACAGGAUUAGAUACCCUGGUAGUCCACGCCGUAAACGAUGAGUGCUAAGUGUUAGGGGGUUUCCGCCCCUUAGUGCUGCAGCUAACGCAUUAAGCACUCCGCCUGGGGAGUACGGUCGCAAGACUGAAACUCAAAGGAAUUGACGGGGGCCCGCACAAGCGGUGGAGCACGUGGUUUAAUUCGAAGCAACGCGAAGAACCUUACCAGGUCUUGACAUCCUCUGACAAUCCUAGAGAUAGGACGUCCCCUUCGGGGGCAGAGUGACAGGUGGUACAUGGUUGUCGUCAGCUCGUGUCGUGAGAUGUUGGGUUAAGUCCCGCAACGAGCGCAACCCUUGAUCUUAGUUGCCAGCAUUCAGUUGGGCACUCUAAGGUGACUGCCGGUGACAAACCGGAGGAAGGUGGGGAUGACGUCAAAUCAUCAUGCCCCUUAUGACCUGGGCUACACACGUGCUACAAUGGACAGAACAAAGGGCAGCGAAACCGCGAGGUUAAGCCAAUCCCACAAAUCUGUUCUCAGUUCGGAUCGCAGUCUGCAACUCGACUGCGUGAAGCUGGAAUCGCUAGUAAUCGCGGAUCAGCAUGCCGCGGUGAAUACGUUCCCGGGCCUUGUACACACCGCCCGUCACACCACGAGAGUUUGUAACACCCGAAGUCGGUGAGGUAACCUUUAUGGAGCCAGCCGCCGAAGGUGGGACAGAUGAUUGGGGUGAAGUCGUAACAAGGUAACCA